rnacentral:lncRNA from 1 species
UUUCCGUUCACCUUCACACUCCUGGGCCAGACUAUACUUAAUCAUAGGACCUACUGAAGAGAUAAGUCUUCAGUAAAGACUUAAAGGUUGAGACUGAGUCUGCGUCUCUCACAUGGGACUGUGCGGACCUUGUGUUGAAGGUGCUGAGCUCCUUUAAGAGUAGUAUAAUAGAGCAUGUGGUCCAAUCUCUGGAUAAGGACAGAGUGGACCUGCUCAUGAAGUACAUCUACAAAGACCUUGAGACGCCAUCGGAUAACAGCAGUGCCGUCCUGCUACAUUGACAAGAAAAGUCAUUAGCAGCAGAGAACUGGAAGGAAAGGCGACCAAAGGAGAAGUUGGCUUUGGGGAUGACCAGUGAAAUAUAUCUGCUGGAGCGUGUGCUAUGGGUGGGUGCUGCUAUGGUGACCAGUGAGUUGAGAUAAGGCUCUAUCUGCAGGUGGAGUGGAAUGCAUCUUCAGAGUACUAACAGCCAGAAAGACUGUCUAACUUACAAAUGAGGAAAGGAUCCAUGUUCUUCACAGCAACUGUCUGGUACACAUCACAACACAAGGAUGAUAUGUGUAUUAUACAGUAGAUCACAGGAUGCCACAUGGGAGACCUGUCUGUUUGUAGUCAGAUCUCACUUCCCACUGUCUUCCUGUACCUAUACAGAUACAAAAUGACAAACUUUUUCGCACAUUCACCCAAACACAUAAGACACACCAAAUUGGCAUGGUAUUUACUCCAUUGUCUUCCCUCCCUAGACCCUCAAAUACACACACAAACAAUGCUACAGCACGCUUUUAGGUCUGGCUUUGUUUCUUUCUGAAAAAAUCUCUGAUUAUUGUCAGCUCAUUUGUUUACCGUAAUACUAUUUUCAUUAAAGCUCUGUUAGUCCGUUGUCUUUGCUAAAAAGCUGAUCAGUGAAUUCCAGAUCGAACAAAAGCCUAUAAUUCCCCUCCAAAAUCCCUAAUUAAGUGGGAGGCUCCUGAAAAGCACAGCCACAGAUAGAGCGUUUGCUCCUACAAGGUGGGAUCCAGCCAUCCUGCCUGCCCUAGUUAGGGAUUAUUACCCACAAUGUAUAACUACUACUCCUACUACUAAAUAAUCCUAGGCUGUGUUCCAGUAAACACACUAGCCUACCACAAAUGUAAUGGUCAUGCAUUCUAAGUGGUAUGCUACUAUGGGUGUAGUGAGAUGUAGCCCUAUUCUCACUGAAUCACUAACUCACUCGCACCUACACAGCAUUAUCAUGUCAGGUUUUGUGUUAUACUGUUUUAUAAGGGAGGCAUUUGUUGAACUUUCAGGAAAUUAGACCUAUUCAUUUUUGUAUUAUUUUUAUUUGGACUACCAGAGAAAUUGACUCAGAUUUAUUCUUUGCUCUGUGUUGCCAUUGAUUCUCUCACUCACACAUUCCCUCACCAGAGUCCUAACUUACCUUUUUGUAUACCAUCACUGCUAGACAAUCACUGUGUAUCUUUCUUGCACUAUUUAACCUGUGCAAUUGUUUGUUUAAUUGUAAUGCUUUUCUAUUGUUAUUUUUAAACAGCUCUCUUUGGGCGUCUUCCUGUUAAUUGGUCAGUACUUCAAAAAAAGCCAUUGAAUUAUCAAUACAUAUUGCAUUAAAUAGGAGUUGAGCUUACUCCUUUUUUAAAGGCCAUGUAUUUGGAAUAUGAUCCCAGGGAAUGUGUUCAGUUAAAAAUGCUAUCAUACAUUAUGUAGGACAGUAUUUUGUGGUGCACAACCAAACACUUUCCCUGGGUUUUGUGUCAUUCGCGGUGGGACCCAGGACAUUUACAAAAAGUUAAUUGAUGCAAGGUUUUAAAUGAUUAUUUUUCUAUUAUUUAUGUUCAAAUCAGUGUCUUUUGUUCAUUCCUCUCAAGCACUUAUUGUUUGAGGACCACUAUCAGUAUUAUGUCUUCGUCUCCAAAGGGACUGUGAGUCCCAAAUGGCACCCUAAAUACAACUGAACAUACCAAACUGGUGUACAAACUGCCUUACUUGAUAACAAUACAAAAAAUGGUUUGUGCUUUGUGAUGAAAUAAUAUAAUUGAUAUGAAAACAGAUUUGAAGUUAUGAGUUAUUGUACUUGAAAAGUACUUGUGGUGCAGUUGGUAUAAUUAUUCACAGAAGCACAUUACCUUUAUCUUGAUUGUAUGUCUGUUCAUUUAUGUUUAAAACAUUUUUUAAUACAGUAUAGAAAUACAUAAGAAAAAACAUUUAUAUACAAAACAUAACAAUAGAAUACAUCUUGGCACUGUAACCGACUAUGGAUGAACUGGUUAAAAAAAGUUACAUGAACCUUUAAUGAUGGGGUUGUAUUGACUAUAAUGUAGUACUGCAAAUAAUAAAUACUGAUCCUAUCUGACACUGAUAAUGAAGGAUGGAGUGUAUUGUGUAUCCUGGGGAGGAGGAGUGAUUACUUGAGGUGGGUUAUACUGACAGACAGCCAAACUUCUCUUGCCAACUAGUCUCUACAAGCACCAUUUCUGACCAAUCAAAUGGACAGCUCAGUUAUCCGGUCUGAUGUCACAACAUUCUGUGACCAACUAGACGAGAGUUGAGCAAAGGAGGGAACUGACCCUUUUUUUCGUAUUAAAGUACUUCCCAAUAACUUAAUAGGUAGAUGUAAAUAAAGGCUAGCUAGUGUUUCUUGUCUCCACCACAUUGAGCCUGCGGGAGGGAGCCUACAUUCUGGGCCAACGGUGGACUCAUCAUCGUCCCUGGAGAAUAAGUCCGGGUCAUCUCUAAAUAUCACUACACCUUGUGGGUGGGAGAGAGGAGGGCAGGGUAAAGUACAAGAAGAGGGUAAAACAAUUCAUUCAGGGAACCAAAAAAUCCUUUAGCAUGGGAGAGUACAAUAUUCUUUUUAGGAUAUCUGGCCAAUUAAUGUGUUUACGUCCAUCCAAGAGGAGCUUGCUCAUGUGUAAACUCUGUUGUGCACCAGGGGCGAGUGUUGAACUUUCCUAAUCUGCCUCCUGGGGUUUGCUGUUCUGUUCUCCGGUC